rnacentral:rRNA from 1 species
GACGAACGCUGGCGGCGUGCUUAACACAUGCAAGUCGAACGGAAAGGCGCUGCUCUUGUGGGGUGCUCGAGUGGCGAACGGGGGAGUAACACGUGAGUAACCUGCCCUUGACUUUGGGAUAACUUCAGGAAACUGGGGCUAAUACCGGAUAGGAGCUCCUGCUGCACGGGGGGGGAUGGAAAGUUUCGGCGGUUGGGGCUGGACUCGCGGCUUAUCAGCUGGUUGGUGGGGUAGUGGCUUACCAAGGCUUUGACGGGUAGCCGGCCUGAGAGGUUGACCGGCGACAUUGCGCCUGCGAUACGGCCCAGACUCCUACGGGAGGCAGCAGUGGGGAAUAUGGCGCAAUGGGCGGAAGCCUGAUGCAGCAGCGCCGCGUGCGGGAUGACGGCCUUCGGGUUGUAAACCGCUUUCGCCUGUGCCGAAGCGUGAGUGACGGUAAUGGGUCAAGAAGCACCGGCUAACUACGUG